rnacentral:rRNA from 1 species
GGGGGGGGGGGGGGGGGGGGCUGAGGGAUGGAGGGCGGGCGAACAGACGAGGAGCUUGCUCCUCUGACGUUAGCGGCGGACGGGUGAGUAACACGUGGAUAACCUACCUAUAAGACUGGGAUAACUUCGGGAAACCGGAGCUAAUACCGGAUAAUAUAUUGAACCGCAUGGUUCAAUAGUGAAAGACGGUUUUGCUGUCACUUAUAGAUGGAUCCGCGCCGCAUUAGCUAGUUGGUAAGGUAACGGCUUACCAAGGCAACGAUGCGUAGCCGACCUGAGAGGGUGAUCGGCCACACUGGAACUGAGACACGGUCCAGACUCCUACGGGAGGCAGCAGUAGGGAAUCUUCCGCAAUGGGCGAAAGCCUGACGGAGCAACGCCGCGUGAGUGAUGAAGGUCUUCGGAUCGUAAAACUCUGUUAUUAGGGAAGAACAAAUGUGUAAGUAACUAUGCACGUCUUGACGGUACCUAAUCAGAAAGCCACGGCUAACUACGUG